GACGAACGCUGGCGGCGUGCUUAACACAUGCAAGUCGAACGGAAAGGCCCUGCUUGUUUGGGGUGCUCGAGUGGCGAACGGGUGAGUAACACGUGAGUAACCUGCCCUUGACUUUGGGAUAACUUCAGGAAACUGGGGCUAAUACCGGAUAGGAGCUCCUGCUGCAUGGUGGGGGGUGGAAAGUUUCGGCGGGUGGGGAUGGAUGCGCGGCUUAUCAACUUGUUGGUUGGGGAGUGGCUUACCAAGGCUUUGACGGGUAGCCGGCCUGAGAGGGUGACCGGGCACAUUGGGCCUGCGAUACGGCCCAGACUCCUACGGGAGGCAGCAGUGGGGAAUAUUGCACAAUGGGCGGAAGUCUGAUGAAGCAACGCCGCGUGUGGGAUGACGGCCUUCGGGUUGUAAACCGCUUUCGCCUGUGACGAAGCGUGAGUGACGGUAAUGGGUAAAGAAGCACCGGCUAACUACGUG
rnacentral:rRNA from 1 species